UGGCUAUACCCAAAUUUUCUGUAGAACUGAUGCAAUAUGGAUUCAAUCAUAGUAGCCUCUGCAGGAGAAAUUUUUUUUUUCUCCUUAGCCCAGACAGCUCCAGGUUUAAGAACGUUCAUUGGGAGGGAAGGCUAAAGGGGUUAAGGAAAUAAGACGCAAUAGAGGUGACCUAUGAGAACUUUCAUUAUUAUAUGGAGCCUUGAUGAGUGAAAUGAGAGGGACUGCUCUCCAUCAUGAAAGGCUGAAAUGUCGAGGGAGCAAUCGCAAAUUAAUCUAUUAAGAAUAAGUAGGAGGUUGAACAGUGUGACUCAAAAGGAUGGAAAUAUAUGGAAUAAACUGCAGCAUAAAGUCAUGAUGAUUUUUAAAUGCAUCCUUAAAGACACCCGCCUACGAUUUUUCCAAUGAAGCAGGGAUUUUUUUCUGUAUAUCUAUAUAUGAGACAAAGUUUAAGCAGACAAAAUGGGCCUCUUUCUAUUCAGCUACUCCCAAGAUUUGUGAUGACCUGGCCUGGAUGAGAAGUUCUCUUCUGAUUUGUGUGGCUUUAACCAGAACAAUGUGCCAGGGAUUUUUCUUUUUUAAAAGACACUCCAAUAAAAUGCUUCACAGGCGGUUUUCUCUGUGAUCAUGCACAGUCAAGGCUGGGGAAAUUUCUCCGUGUCAGCCUGGUGAGGGACAGCCCUGCAGCCUGAGGAGACCAGCUUCCAGGAGGAAAAAUGCUGAACACAUAAAAGCAAAAUGGCUUGCUGCCUUAAUCUCACUUCGUGCCAUUGCCCUCCGAUGAGAGAAUCCUCCUGGUACCUGCGAUUUGUCAUUGGAGCGAAGGGAAGGGCUACGCGCACUACUUGCUCCUAUCUUCCGCGAUGCUCAAGCUGUCACUUGCUGUAUUCAAAUGUAUCAGUAUCUUGUUUCAGGUACUUCACAGAUACCUUGGACUCUCCUGCUGGGACUGUGACUCAGCCUGCUUCAGCUUUCCUGAAACUGAUUGAAGACAAUCUCUACUCCCAGCUCUGA
rnacentral:lncRNA from 1 species